UACGUAGGGCGCAAGCGUUGUCCGGAAUUAUUGGGCGUAAAGAGCUCGUAGGCGGUCUGUCGCGUCUGCCGUGAAAACCCGAGGCUUAACCUCGUGGCUUGCGGUGGAUACGGGCAGACUAGAGGUAGGUAGGGGAGAAUGGAAUUCCCGGUGUAGCGGUGAAAUGCGCAGAUAUCGGGAGGAACACCGGUGGCGAAGGCGGUUCUCUGGGCCUUACCUGACGCUGAGGAGCGAAAGCGUGGGGAGCGAACAGGAUUGAGA
rnacentral:rRNA from 1 species